GGAUUAGAUACCCUGGUAGUCCACGCCCUAAACGAUGAGAACUAGCCGUUGGGGGUAUUUGAAACCUUUAGUGGCGCAGCUAACGCGAUAAGUUCUCCGCCUGGGGAGUACGGCCGCAAGGUUAAAACUCAAAGGAAUUGACGGGGGCCCGCACAAGCGGUGGAGCAUGUGGUUUAAUUCGAUGCAACGCGAAGAACCUUACCUGCCUUUGACAUCCUCGGAACCUUCCAGAGAUGGUUGGGUGCCUUCGGGAACCGAGUGACAGGUGCUGCAUGGCUGUCGUCAGCUCGUGCCG
rnacentral:rRNA from 1 species